rnacentral:rRNA from 1 species
GACGAACGCUGGCGGCGUGCUUAACACAUGCAAGUCGAACGGAAAGGCCCUGCUUUUGUGGGGUGCUCGAGUGGCGAACGGGUGAGUAACAAGUGAGUAACCUGCCCUUGACUUUGGGAUAACUUCAGGAAACUGGGGCUAAUAACGGAUAGGAGCUCCUGCUGCAUGGUGGGGGUUGGAAAGUUUCGGCGGUUGGGGAUGGACUCGCGGCUUAUCAGCUUGUUGGUGGGGUAGUGGCUUACCAAGGCUUUGACGGGUAGCCGGCCUGAGAGGGUGACCGGCCACAUUGGGACUGAGAUACGGCGCAGACUCCUACGGGAGGCAGCAGUGGGGAAUAUUGCACAGUGGGCGGAAGCCUGAUGCAGCAACGCCGCGUGCGGGAUGACGGCCUUCGGGUUGUAAACCGCUUUCGCCUGUGACGAAGCGUGAGUGACGGUAAUGGGUAAAGAAGCACCGGCUAACUACGUG